CUACGGGGGGCAGCAGUGAGGAAUAUUGCGCAAUGGGGGAAACCCUGACGCAGCGACGCCGCGUGGAUGAUGAAGGCCUUCGGGUCGUAAAAUCCUGUCAGAAGGAAAGAAGUAUAUGGUAGCUAAUAUCUGCCAUAUUUGACGGUACCUUCAAAGGAAGCACCGGCUAACUCCGUGCCAGCAGCCGCGGUAAUACGGAGGGUGCAAGCGUUGUUCGGAAUUACUGGGCGUAAAGCGCGCGUAGGCGGCUGUUUAAGUCAGAUGUGAAAGCCCAUGGCUUAACCAUGGACGUGCAUUUGAUACUGGGCAGCUUGAGUACUGGAGGGGGUGGUGGAAUUCCCGGUGUAGAGGUGAAAUUCGUAGAUACCGGGAGGAAUACCGGUGGCGAAGGCGACCACCUGGCCAGAUACUGACGCUGAGGUGCGAAAGCGUGGGGAGCAAACAGGAUUAGAUACCCUAGUAGUC
rnacentral:rRNA from 1 species